UCUGCAAGAAGCGCAGACGAUUCUGAAAUUAAAUUUCCAUUGUUCUUUCAUUUAUUAUUUUUCACAAGAGCAUGUACCGACGCAAUUUCGAAUACACAAUUGAGAUAUAUACUUCAAAUAGGAUUUCUAAUUCCAAAUGCGAGGAGUUUGAAAUUAAGAUUCGCCGUUUCGUCGUAUAACAUUCAUUGGAACAGACUGAAUAUCUUGUGUAUCUUAUUCCUCUUAUGCAGGAUAAAUGACAAAUAUUUAUUCAAAGCUAGGGAAAGUUCUACGAAACCGGGGAUGGGUCGUAAUUUCCCCUUACAGUUAAACUAGUUUUGUACUUAUCUAGUAAACAAGAUUGUCCAGGACAAGGUCAUUUCAAGAAGGGCUGCAAAAUACUGCGCAGGUGCAGGUAUUGUUCAGGACGACAGAACAACGUUGGGCAGCUGUCUUCUGAAAAAACGAUUUCUGUGAAGUGACGUCAUUAUGAAAAGAUUGUCGUUCAGCAGUUGUGUAAAUGAUUUUAUUAGAAAUAAAAACCAGAACAUCAGAACUUCAAGGCCGGCUGUUAACAUGGGAGAAUCAGCAUUUGAAUGUACUUUCGUUUCAGCAUUUGAGCUGCUUUUCGUCAGCUGCUUUGCAUGUACUGUUUUCGGAUACAUGCUCAUGUAUUGGUGACGCAACGAUGGCCGCAGAACAUCGUUGAUCCAGGCUCUGGAAUUCUGACGGAAUGAAGUUUUCAAGCUGAUGUUUAAUAUCAUACAGUCUGUUUUUAUUUCCUAUAUAACAAGAGAGCGAAUUUCGAUCUCCACCUCAAGGACAAACUGAAGACCUUUAGCUGAUUUUUUUAUGUAAAGGAAAAUGGUAGAGCUUAUAUAAUGCGGCAAAUAAAGCCACUGUCUUUCAGCUCUCUAUGAUUUUAUACACAAAUACAAAUCUUUCUUCAAUGACUGUGAUAUUUUUAAUUAUGUAAGAGCUUUGUAGAUAACAAAUAUUUUGAAAUUUAAAAUAAA